AUUGAACGCUGGCGGCAGGCCUAACACAUGCAAGUCGAACGGAGCAGCGGACGGGUGAGUGAUGCCUAGGACUCUGCCUGUGCGUGGGGGAUAACGUCCAGAAACGGGCGCUAAUACCGAUUACUCUCAGCUUCGCCUGGGUCGGAUUAGCUAGUUGGUGGGGUAAAGGCAUACCAAGGCGACGAUCCGUAUCUGGUCUGAGAGGAUGAUCAGUCACACUGGAACUGAGACACGGUCCAGACUCCUACGGGAGGCAGCAGUGGGGAAUAUUGGACAAUGGGCGAAAGCCUGAUCCAGCCAUGCCGCGUGUGUGAAGAAGGUCUUCGGAUUGUAAAGCACUUUAAGUUGGGAGGCGUUACCAACAGAAGAAGCACCGGCUAACUUCGUGCCAGCAGCCGCGGUAAUAC
rnacentral:rRNA from 1 species